GACAGAGGAUGCAAGCGUUAUCCGGAAUGAUUGGGCGUAAAGCGUCUGUAGGUGGCUUUUCAAGUCCGCCGUCAAAUCCCAGGGCUCAACCCUGGACAGGCGGUGGAAACUGCCAAGCUGGAGUACGGUAGGGGCAGAGGGAAUUUCCGGUGGAGCGGUGAAAUGCGUAGAGAUCGGAAGGAACGCCGGUGGCGAAAGCGACGUGCUGGACCUCUUCUGACGCUGAGGCGCGAAAGCCAGGGGAGCGAACGGG
rnacentral:rRNA from 1 species